rnacentral:rRNA from 1 species
UGGGGAAUAUUGCACAAUGGGCGCAAGCCUGAUGCAGCCAUGCCGCGUGUAUGAAGAAGGCCUUCGGGUUGUAAAGUACUUUCAGCGAGGAGGAAGGCGGUAAGGUUAAUAACCUUAUCGAUUGACGUUACUCGCAGAAGAAGCACCGGCUAACUCCGUGCCAGCAGCCGCGGUAAUACGGAGGGUGCAAGCGUUAAUCGGAAUUACUGGGCGUAAAGCGCACGCAGGCGGGCUGUCAAGUCGGAUGUGAAAUCCCCGGGCUCAACCGGGGAACUGCAUUCGAAACUGGCAGGCUAGAGUCUUGUAGAGGGGGGUAGAAUUCCAGGUGUAGCGGUGAAAUGCGUAGAGAUCUGGAGGAAUACCGGUGGCGAAGGCGGCCCCCUGGACAAAGACUGACGCUCAGGUGCGAAAGCGUGGGGAGCAAACA